rnacentral:tRNA from 1 species
GUCUUCGUAGUGUCGUGGUCAGCACGCUCGACUCGUAACCGAGAGAUCCAUGGUCCGGUUCCCGGCGAAGGCG